rnacentral:rRNA from 1 species
AUUGAACGCUGGCGGCAGGCUUAACACAUGCAAGUCGAGCGGGGUGAUGGUGCUUGCACUAUCACUUAGCGGCGGACGGGUGAGUAAUGCUUAGGAAUCUGCCUAUUAGUGGGGGACAACAUCUCGAAAGGGAUGCUAAUACCGCAUACGUCCUACGGGAGAAAGCAGAGGAUCACUUGUGACCUUGCGCUAAUAGAUGAGCCUAAGUCGGAUUAGCUAGUUGGUGGGGUAAAGGCCUACCAAGGCGACGAUCUGUAGCGGGUCUGAGAGGAUGAACCGCCACACUGGGACUGAGACACGGCCCAGACUCCUACGGGAGGCAGCAGUGGGGAACAUUGGACAAUGGGGGGAACCCUGAUCCAGCCAUGCCGCGUGUGUGAAGAAGGCCUUAUGGUUGUAAAGCACUUUAAGCGAGGAGGAGGCUCUUUUGGUUAAUACCCAAGAUGAGUGGACGUUACUCGCAGAAUAAGCACCGGCUAACUCUGUGCCAGCCGCCGCCGUAA